rnacentral:rRNA from 1 species
CCCUUAGAUGUUCUGGGCCGCACGCGUGCUACACUGAGUGGAUCAGCGGGUCAGGUUGCGCGAAAGCGUUUCCUAAUCUUUAAAUCCGCUCGUGAUGGGGAUUGACGGUUGCAAUUUUCUGUCAUGAACGAGGAAUACCUUGUAAGCGCGGGUCAUCAUCCCGCGCUGAAUACGUCCCUGCCCUUUGUACACACCGCCCGUCGCUCCUACCGAUGGAUCGUCCGGUGAAGCUCAUGGAGGGGCGGUUGUCUCAGCUGCCGUCGAAGUGAAAUGGACCUCACGAUCUAGAGGAAGGAGAAGUCGUAACA